rnacentral:rRNA from 1 species
UACAGAGGUGGCAAGCGUUGUUCGGAAUUACUGGGCGUAAAGGGCGCGCAGGCGGCGGUGCUGGCCCGGCGUGAAAGCCCCCGGCUCAACCGGGGAGGGUCGUCGGGGACCGCACCGCUUGAGGGCGGUAGGGGCUGGUGGAAUGCCUGGUGUAGUGGUGAAAUGCGUAGAGAUCAGGCAGAGCACCCGUGGCGAAGGCGGCCAGCUGGGCCGACCCUGACGCUGAGGCGCGAAGGCGUGGGGAGCGAACGGG